GAUGAACGCUGGCGGUAUGCUUAACACAUGCAAGUCGAACGGAUGUUUUCGGACAUUAGUGGCGGACGGGUGAGUAACGCGUGAGAAUCUGCCUAUAGGUUGGGGACAACAGAUGGAAACGUCUGCUAAUACCCGAUGUGCCGAGAGGUAAAAGCUUUAGUGCCUGUAGAUGAGCUCGCGUCCGAUUAGCUAGUUGGUUAGGUAAAGGCUGACCAAGGCGACGAUCGGUAGCUGGUCUGAGAGGAUGAUCAGCCACACUGGGACUGAGACACGGCCCAGACUCCUACGGGAGGCAGCAGUGGGGAAUUUUCCGCAAUGGGCGAAAGCCUGACGGAGCAAUACCGCGUGCGGGACGAAGGCUUUUGGGUCGUAAACCGCUUUUGUUAGGGAAGAAGAACUGACGGUACCUAACGAAUCAGCAUCGGCUAACUCCGUGCCAGCAGCCGCGGUAAUACGGGGGAUGCAAGCGUUAUCCGGAAUUAUUGGGCGUAAAGCGUCCGCAGGUGGUUUAUCAAGUCUGCUGUCAAAGCGUGGGGCUUAACCCCAUAAAGGCAGUGGAAACUGAGAGACUAGAGUACGGUAGGGGUAGCGGGAAUUCCCAGUGUAGCGGUGAAAUGCGUAGAUAUUGGGAAGAACACCAGCGGCGAAGGCGCGCUACUGGGCCGAAACUGACACUCAUGGACGAAAGCUAGGGGAGCGAAAGGGAUUAGAUACCCCUGUAGUCCUAGCUGUAAACGAUGACAACUAGGUGUUGCGCG
rnacentral:rRNA from 1 species